rnacentral:lncRNA from 1 species
GUUGCAUCAGGUGAAAUGAUGGUAAUGGUCAAGUCCACUCCUAACUCGGCAUGGAUUGGAGUUAGCUUUGGCCAGCCCUUCAUAUCAGUGGAGUUGUAGAGCUGGGCUCCAAUGUCUAGGUAAAUCCUCACCCAGCCCUCCCUCCCUCGUGUGGUAGCUGUGACCUAGUGUGAUGAUUGAUACCAGUUGUCAACUUGAUAAGAUGCAGAAUCAGCUCAGAGAUAGCCCUGGACUUGCGUGUGAGGGGAUUUCUAGGUUUGAUCAUUGAGCUGGGACGACCCACCCUAAAUGUGAGUUGUACCAUUCCAUGAGUUGAAAUCCUGAGCUGAGUCAAAGGAAAGGAAGCUGAGUACCAGUACUGAAUGUGACUAGCUGCCUCUCACUCUGGCUGCUGUGAUGGAAGGCACAGCAAUCGUGGGCUCAGUGGAUCCAAUUGCACACCCGUAGCUCCAACAUGCCUCCAACACUUCCCAGCGAAGGAGCUUGAGAAGAACUACUGAGGUCGAAUCAUCUGGAGAGAAGAAUGUUUGAGAAGCUAAUGAAACAAGUGUUUAAGAAUGAUGGAGCAUCUCUGUGCAUUUCUCUCUCUCUCUCUCUCUCUCUCUCUCUCUCUCUCUCUCUCUCUCUCUCUCUCUCUCUCUCUCUCUCUCUCUUCGUGUUGAUAAGAAGACUUCUAAUUGGAUUUGAGGCCAACUCCAGAGGAGGAACCACAUGCCUGAAACUGGAAACCUGGCUAAGAGCCCAUGGUUGAGAGCUCACAGGCCCCAGGGAAUAUUAUCUAAAAUCAUCUGGUUACAAUGAGGCAGAAAAGAGGAAUAGACGUUUGAAAAGAGCAAGCUGAGGAUUGCCACAUUGUCCUGCAGGUAUAAAACAUUAAGGAACUACUUAAGAAGAGGUCAUGAAGGUGAAUUCCUGGAUAUUAUAAACAGACUUUUGAGAGCUGGGCGUGCUGGUACAUAUCUAAAAUCUUAACAUCUAGGAAGUAGAGGCAGGAGGAACAGGAGUUCAAGGCCAACCUCAACUACACAGGGAAUUCAAAGCCAGCAUGAGGCCUUGAAUUUGUGUCAAAAACCAAAACAAAACCAACAUUAAUAAAUAAA